GAUGAACGCUGGCGGCGUGCCUAAUACAUGCAAGUCGAACGAGGUGCUUUUGUAGCAAUACGAAAGUAUCCUAGUGGCGAACGGGUGAGUAACGCGUUGGUGACCUACCCCAAAGUGUGGGAUAACAGUCCGAAAGGAUUGCUAAUACCGCAUGUGGUUAUUGGAUCUAGAAACCGAUAACUAAAGGAGUAAUUCGCUUUGGGAGGGACCUGCGUCCCAUCAGCUAGUUGGUGAGGUAACGGCUCACCAA
rnacentral:rRNA from 1 species